CCUGCGUGGACGACUCGAACACGGAGGCCGGGAUCCUGUAGCCGGAGGGGCACCGCUCCAUCUCUUGAUUCAGGGGCGGCUGCGUCGCCUCCGGCUUCGGGGGUUUCUUGGAGCUGCAGUCGUCAUCGGCUACAUCGACUUCAUUGGAUGCUGCUGGAGAUGUGCUUCUCUUCACUUCACUAGAUUCCAUUCCACUUCAAUUUACUCAUCCCUGCAUCUCCUCUCAACGCUAUCUAAUUAAUAAUCUAACCUCACCACAAAUGCAACCACAAUUCCUUGGCAUUUUUACGUUUUAGAAACAAAACAAAAUCAUUAUUGUGCCUUCCAAUACAUCCAAUCGGUAUUUAACGAUCACGUCUAGGCUUCAACUCUACCGUUCUUCUUUCUUUUAAAAAAAAUAAUUACAAAAUAUUUCCAACAAAUUCAUAGAAAAUUUCAUGUUUGCACCUCAACUCCCCUCCUGCACCUAUGGCCAGGGAUGGAACUGGCGGGGGGGGGGGGCUCGAGCACCCUCCGACUAGCCAUUUUUUAAAUGUGUUUCUUAAUUUUAAAGUUUUGAUUUUCUUUUAACUUACUAAAAAAUAUACCGAAAAGUUUUUACUUGAGCUCCCUUGAGAAUCCAAACUAUAUUUCUGAAUUGGCCUCUCUGCAUAAAUCUAAAUGAUGUAUCAAAAGAAAACCAUAUUUCCAUCAAAUGUUUUUCUUCUUAUUAUCCUUAAUUGAAAGGGUGUCUCAAUUCAUAAUACAAUGGGCGAGGAGCUUCUCUCGUUGUAUAUUUUUCAGAUUAAUUAGAAGAGGAAGGGAAAAAAAACACGAGAAAAAUGAAGAUGAAUAAGUGCAUACCAUAAUAUGCACAGGAAGGAAAUGAAGAAUCAGAAAGAGCCUUUUAAUUGUGUUAUUUCCGGCCAAAGUCCCCUAAAAAACUGGCCAGAAAAACUGAGCGCAGAUUCCUCUUUCCGACGUGCAGUUCGACGAAGAAAAACCAAUAUUGUACAAAUUCUUGAGAAACAAAAAUAGGA
rnacentral:lncRNA from 1 species